UGACCUUUGACCCAGUUUCUGUCAGAAGCUGAAAACAUGAAAAGCUUCAGCCAUCCAGCCAACAUCAGCUCCACCUUAAAUAUUUUAAACGAGUCGUUUUUAUUGUCACUUUGGGGAAAAGGUGCAGCAGCCAUUAUGUCCUGUAACACUUGUGGUAAAUUUCAAAUCUUCUUCCUGAAACAAAACAACAGUGACUCAUUUCAAAACAAUAACUGCAUGAAUUCCUUUAUGAUUAAAUGAAGAGCAGAGUUCCUGAAGCUCAGCAGGAAAAAGGUUCAAACAAACAGAGGAGUGAGUCAAACCUGCCCAGGUUUAUUAUUAGCAAACCAUCUUUUCCUUUUGCCUGAAAGGAAAAGCUUUCAGGCGUUUCUCUGAAGGAAGUGGUUCUGCGGCUCAGUGGACCCAACCGGAGCUUAUCAGAGGAUCCUGGACGUCUGCCAGACAAAUCGCUGCUUUCCUCUGGGCUCACACACCAAAACAGGGUUAACACACAAAACGGACGUGUUUUAUGAGUUAAUUAUGGAGUAAAGAAGGUCAAUUAUUAUGUGAAAGGAGCUUUGCAGGGAAGUUUUCCAGCAACCUGAAGGUCGGACACUGAGGAACAAAAACAUCCAUCGCUGAUUCCCAUCAUGACUCACCUCAGGCUUCCUCAUAUUUCUCCAUAAACGCUGUUGAUGACAGCAGACUCCUGUGGGGUCAUGACCUCCUGUGCGGUCAUGACCUCCAACACACUGAAUCCCGCGCUGAUGACCUGGACGUGGAAACCCAGCAGGAGAACCAAGCGAUGCAGCUUGAAUGUUUCCUGUCCAGGUGAUUUUCUGCAGCUACAAAAUACCAGGAGGAAAAUCACACGUUCAUCAGUCAGAGACGAGCAAACAUCUUCAUGGUGGACUCAACCAGAACAUCUGGGUUUGAAACCGACAACCUGCUGCAGGAGGAGAUCUGAGCAACCGGAGCUGAUCGGUUUCCUGCGUCUUCAGAAGAUCUGGGUUCACCUGCAGCGUUCAGACACCCAGCUGUGAUGAUUAAAGUCUGUUUCUAAAGGUUCACAGAAACCUUCAGUGAAAAUCUCAUUUCUGAUGGGUUGCCAGGUUGAACACAGAGACGCAUUGUUCCAACAUCUGGGGAAGUUUUAUUUGUCUUCAGGAGAAACCAGGCGAAUGCUCAGAAACACCAGGAACUUUCAGAAGCAGAAGCAUAAAUUAGGUUUCUGUUCCCUGGUCUUACUGUAACAGACGUGAUGCAAGAAGCUGCUGCUAAGCUAACGAUCAGGCUUCAGUCCAACUGAACAGGAAACUCACUUUCUGCCUCCCGGCGACAAACGAAGCCGGUUCUGCAGCUCAGGAGAGGCGGACAGAUCAAACAUCCAGGCCCUCAAUGUUUGAGCUCUGGCGCUAACAAUUUAGCGCAUUAGCGUUAGCUUCCAGUAAUGUUUUCAUGCGACUAUAUGAUUAUAUGAUUCUUGUUUAGUGAUUUAUUGGUUAUUGAACGUCACUUUUUAGUAAGUGGUGGCUAAUAACUGCUUUACAGUCAGAAAAUGGAAACAAGAUCAAGAAAACAUGCAUGAUUUCUAUAUGCAUGGUUUGAAAUAUGUAGACCAUAAUCUGACACAAACACAUUCACCCAGUUCUCCAUUUUAAUGCAAAAAUAAAAUUUUCAUAACCAUUUUUCUAUUUUAUAAUCGCAUUGUAUUUUAUGAUUGUGUAUAGCACUUUGGUCCUGUUGGUGUAUAAAGUGCUUCAUAAUAAAGUUGGUAUGGUAACCAUGUCGGACAUCUUAAAAAAUCAGUAUCAGUAAAUAUGAUUU